AUUAGAGGCAAGGAAACAAAUCAUUCAUUCUAGAAACAAACACCAACCACAGAUCAGGUAUUUGGGGGGAAACUGCAAAGGCACCAUCGGUGAAAAUACUAGGAAGUAAAAAUGUGUAGGCAAGAGUGGUGAUGGGAAAGAAAUACAGAGAAAGAAGAAAAAACAAUGACAGAUGAACAAAAUAUUUUUGUUUCAUCAACCAAACAUAUUUUGUUCUCUUGGGACUCCUGAUACCAUACCUCACCUUCUUCUAUUUCUUCUGAUAACCACGGCUCUUCAUAUUCUGCAAUUCACCAUCAGAAAGGGGCAUGCUCUUCUCAUUCAUAGCUUGAGAACGUGGUGACUUUGGAUGGAAAAGAGUAGCAGUGAGUAAGUUUGGCCAUUUACUACAAUAAAAGUUGGCUUCUAACCUGCCUCCAUAUUUGUGUCACUGAUAUGCCAUUGCAG
rnacentral:lncRNA from 1 species